GACGAACGCUGGCGGCGUGCCUAACACAUGCAAGUUGAGCGACGAACCAGGGCUUGCCCUGUGGCAAAGCAGCGAACGGGUGAGUAACACGUGGGUAACCUACCCCGAUAACCGGGACAACCCGAGGAAACUCGGGCUAAUACCGGAUGUGCUCACUUGACUUCGGUUCAGUGCGUAAAGGAAGCUUCGGCCUCCGUAUCGGGAGGGGCCCGCGGCCCAUUAGUUUGUUGGUGGGGUAACGGCUCACCAAGACCGCGAUGGGUAGCUGGUCUGAGAGGACGAUCAGCCACACUGGGACUGAGACACGGCCCAGACUCCUACGGGAGGCAGCAGUGGGGAAUCUUGCGCAAUGCGCGAAAGCGUGACGCAGCAACGCCGCGUGGGGGAAGAAGGCCUUCGGGUUGUAAACCCCUUUCAGGAGGGACGAAGGUUCGGCGGUGAAUAGCCGUCCGGACUGACGGUACCUCCACAAGAAGCCCCGGCUAACUACGUG
rnacentral:rRNA from 1 species